rnacentral:rRNA from 1 species
AGGAAAAGAAACUAACAAGGAUUCCCCUAGUAACGGCGAGUGAAGCGGGAAGAGCUCAAAUUUGAAAUCUGGUAGCCUUCGGUUGCCCGAGUUGUAAUCUAGAGAAGUGUUUUCCGUGCCGGCCCAUGUACAAGUCCCUUGGAACAGGGCGUCAUAGAGGGUGAGAAUCCCGUCCUUGACAUGGACCCCCGGUGCUUUGUGAUACACUUUCAACGAGUCGAGUUGUUUGGGAAUGCAGCUCAAAAUGGGUGGUGAAUUCCAUCUAAAGCUAAAUAUUGGCGAGAGACCGAUAGCGAACAAGUACCGUGAGGGAAAGAUGAAAAGCACUUUGGAAAGAGAGUUAAACAGUACGUGAAAUUGUUGAAAGGGAAACGAUUGAAGUCAGUCAUGCUCUUGGGACUUACCUCCCUUGAGUGGGGUCAACAUCAGUUUUGAUCGAUGGAUAAAGGCACGGGGAAGGUAGCACUCUCGGGUGAACUUAUAGCCUCGCGUCAUAUA